rnacentral:misc_RNA from 1 species
GAAAUGCGAUAAGUAGUGUGAAUUGCAGAAUUCAGUGAGUCAUCGAAUCUUUGAACGCACAUUGCGCCUCUCGGUAUUCCGGGAGGCACGCCUGUUCGAGCGCCAUUACAAACUCCAAGCGUGGCUUGAUGUUGGGCGAUGUCUUUUUGCGAGAGCGGAGACACGCCUGGAACGCGUUGGCGCCGCCGCCGGACCACGAGCGUAGCAAGACGAGAGUCAAUCGCAUCGAUUUGGAUUCCGACGGAGGUCCGCCAUGGGACUGCACUUUCGAGUGUAAGUCCACAACUUCUCAAGUUUGGCCUCGGAUCAGGCGGGGAUACCCGCUGAACUUAAGC